UGCAUGUUUGUUGCCAUUUUAUUCUCUUCUCUUCUAAGUCCUUUUCUCUGUAGUGGGAAUGCAUGGCAAAGAAGUACCCCAAAACAAGAUCCAUGACAUGCCAGACUAAAUAUUCUAUGAGGUGACUACAUUGGCUGUACAUUAGGAAAGAUGAUGCUUUCUCUGUAGCAUGACCAAUUGCCCCUGUAUUUGAUGAUCUUUCUGUCUUGUGGAGCACCUGGUACUGUCACUACAAGACAUCACGCAGGAUUAAAGGAGAAGAACUCAUUGGAGGUAGCCUGUGCCUUUGGAUGUUUGACUUGCUUCCUGUCCUUCCCAGCAGUCAACAGGCUUGGUCCCACCAUGUUCAGAGCUCAAGGACUGUGGGAGAGGGUGACACAGACAACGGACUGAUCGAUCCAGGAGCUGGGCAUGGUGCUUACCAUGUUAUCAUGGUCUUAAUACGAGUUCACAGCAGUCUUGUUUCUGGUUAAGGUACUUGAAUAGAUAUUGUAUUUAAAAUAAUUAAUUAGA